rnacentral:rRNA from 1 species
UACCUAGGGUGCAAGCGUUGUCCGGAAUUAUUGGGCGUAAAGAGCUCGUAGGUGGCCUGUCGCGUCGGCUGUGAAAACUCGGGGCUCAACUCCGAGCUUGCAGUCGAUACGGGCAGGCUAGAGUUCGGCAGGGGAGACUGGAAUUCCUGGUGUAGCGGUGAAAUGCGCAGAUAUCAGGAGGAACACCGGUGGCGAAGGCGGGUCUCUGGGCCGAUACUGACACUGAGGAGCGAAAGCGUGGGGAGCGAACAGG